rnacentral:pre_miRNA from 1 species
GCUACUUGAAGAGAGAUUAUCCUUCCUGUGUUUGCAUCCUUUGUAAUGAAUAUACAAAGGGCAAGUUCUCUCCGAGGAGC